UGGGGAAUCUUGCGCAAUGGGCGAAAGCCUGACGCAGCGACGCCGCGUGCGGGAAGAAGGCCUUCGGGUUGUAAACCGCUUUCAGGAGGGACGAAGCCACUCGGGUGAAUAGCCCAGAGGGUGACGGUACCUCCAGAAGAAGCCCCGGCUAACUACGUGCCAGCAGCCGCGGUAAUACGUAGGGGGCCAGCGUUGUCCGGAUUCAUUGGGCGUAAAGAGCGUGUAGGCGGCCAGGUAGGUCCGACGUGAAAACUGGAGGCUCAACCUCCAGCUGUCGUCGGAAACCCUCUGGCUAGAGUCCGGAAGAGGAGAGCGGAAUUCCUGGUGUAGCGGUGAAAUGCGGAGAUAUCAGGAAGAACACCGAUGGCGAAGGCAGCUCUCUGGGACGGUACUGACGCUGAGACGCGAAAGCGUGGGGAGCGAACAGGAUUAGAUACCCUGGUAGUCCACGCCGUAAACGAUGGGCGCUAGGGUGUGGGCGGUGUCGACUCCGUCCGUGCCGCA
rnacentral:rRNA from 1 species